UACGCCCUACGGGGGAAAAAUUUAUUGCUAUUAGAUGAGCCUAUAUUAGAUUAGCUAGUUGGUGGAGUAAUAGCCUACCAAGGCAAUGAUCUAUAGCUGAUCUGAGAGGAUGAUCAGCCACACUGGAACUGAGAUACGGUCCAGACUCCUACGGGAGGCAGCAGUGGGGAAUAUUGGACAAUGGGCGAAAGCCUGAUCCAGCCAUGCCGCAUGAGUGAAGAAGGCCUUUGGGUUGUAAAGCUCUUUUAGUGAGGAAGAUAAUGACGGUACUCACAGAAGAAGUCCUGGCUAACUCCGUGCCAGCAGCCGCGGUAAUACGGAGAGGGCUAGCGUUAUUCGGAAUUAUUGGGCGUAAAGGGCGCGUAGGCGGAUUAGUAAGUUAAAAGUGAAAUCCCAAGGCUCAACCUUGGAAUUGCUUUUAAAACUGCUAAUCUAGAGAUUGAAAGAGGAUAGAGGAAUUCCUAGUGUAGAGGUGAAAUUCGUAAAUAUUAGGAGGAACACCAGUGGCGAAGGCGUCUAUCUGGUUCAAAUCUGACGCUGAGGCGCGAAGGCGUGGGGAGCAAACAGGAUUAGAUACCCUGGUAGUCCAUGCUGUAAACGAUGAAUGUUAAAUAUGGGAAGUUUUACUUUCUGUAUUACAGCUAACGCGUUAAACAUUCCGCCUGGGGACUACGGUCGCAAGAUUAAAACUCAAAGGAAUUGACGGGGACCCGCACAA
rnacentral:rRNA from 1 species